rnacentral:rRNA from 1 species
AUUGAACGCUGGCGUCAGGCCUAACACAUGCAAGUCGAGCGGAGCGGCGGACGGGUGAGUAAUGCCUAGGAAUCUGCCUGGUAGUGGGGGAUAACGUCCGGAAACGGGCGCUAAUACCGCAUACUAUCAGAUGAGCCUAGGUCGUAUUCGCUAGUGGGUGGGGUAAAGGCCUACCAAGGCGUCGAUCCGUAACUGGGCUGAGAGGAUGAUCAGUCAAACGGGAACUGAGACACGGGCCAGACUCCUACGGGAGGCAGCAGUGGGGAAUAUUGGACAAUGGGCGAAAGCAUGAUCCAGCCAUGCCGCGUGUGUGUAGAAGGUCUUCGGAUUGUAAAGCACUGUAAGUUGGGAGGCGAUACCAACAGAAUAAGCACAGGCUAACUUCGUGCCAGCCGCCGCGGUAAGUC